rnacentral:lncRNA from 1 species
GAGCGCGCGGAGGAGCGGGGUGAAGCAGUCCCACGCGGGUAUGGGAGAGAAUGAAGUUCUUUGUCUCUAAGGGAUUCAAACCAGAAACGGAGGGACCUCUGGUUCCCAGAGGGAGGAAAAUCCAUGAUGUCUGCUGCCCAGGGAGCUAUUGCCACCGCCUCCUUGGGGUGAAGUAUUGCCAGCUACCAACAGUUCCUUCCCAACGGCCAUCUUCCAGCCUUCUUAAACGACUCCUAGCAUCUUCGGGAGGCUCCUGAAGGACUGAAGCAAAGGAAAUCUCUGAAGGGAUUUAGUCCUUGAAAGGGAGUAGGGAUACUUAGGGUGUUCUGUGUUGAGCGCUUCUUCCUAUCUCUCCAGCUUCAUGUAUGUGUGUCUUUAUGUCCAAGCAAUUGAGCCAACAAGUCCUCAGAAUUCCUUGUGAAAAAAACUUUUUUUUUUUUUUUUUGA